rnacentral:tRNA from 1 species
GAGGGUAUAGCUCAGAGGUAGAGUGCAUGCUUAGCAUGCAUGAGGUCCGGGGUUCCAUCCCCAGUACCUCCA